AUAAAAGGACAUCAACGCAUCAUCCUACAUGAACCAUACAAAUACUAUCUUCUAUUCUCAUGGCAUUAUCUCUCUCAUCUACCUCUACAAUUCCAUGCACAAAACUUCACAAUUCAAUCUUGCAAUUCACCAACUCAAGUUCUAGGAACCAAAACUUCAAUUUCGUCACUAAAUGUGAAUCCAAAGAAUCAUCACCAGAAAAAUUUAAAAAACUUGAGAUAGGCUCUCCUAUUGUUGUUAUUGAGGCUCCAAAAAUGAUAAAGACUGCAACUUCAGUACCUUGCCUCAGGGUUAAUUCUGGGUUAGUAAAGCCUGGAGAUGUUGGAAGAAUUGUGUCGAGAAAGCCCAAGGAUGUGUGGGCAGUUCGUCUCAGCAUUGGAACCUAUCUUAUAGAUGGCAAAUACUUCAAGCCCUUGGAGCUUCAAGAAUGAAACUUGUACUGUUUUCAAUUCAAAGCUUAACGUCAAUGAAAGUAUGCAAAUUUCAAUUCAAUUUGAAAAAUUGAAUAAAAUCAAAACUGUUUUUAAUGGGUUUAA